GCCGGUAUAGCUCAGUUGGUAGAGCAGCUGAUUUGUAAUCAGCGGGUCGUAGGUUCAAGUCCUAUUACCGGCUCCA
rnacentral:tRNA from 1 species